GACAGAGGAGCCAAGCGUUGUCCGGAAUUAUUGGGCGUAAAGGAGCUCGUAGGCGGUCUGUCGCGUCGGCUGUAGAAAUCCCGGGAGCUCAACUCUGGGUCUGCAGUCGAUAACGGGCCAAACUGGAGUACUGGCAGGGGAGACGUGGAAUUCCUGGUGUAGCGGUGAAAUGCGCAGAUAUCAGGAGGAACACCGGUGGCGAAGCGGUCUCUGGGCAGUAACUGACGCUGGAGGAAGCGAAAGGCGUGGGGGAGCAAACAGG
rnacentral:rRNA from 1 species